CACGUAGGGUGCGAGCGUUGUCCGGAAUUAUUGGGCGUAAAGAGCUCGUAGGCGGUGUGUCGCGUCGGCCGUGAAAACCUGCAGCUUAACUGUGGGCUUGCGGUCGAUACGGGCAUCACUGGAGUUCGGCAGGGGAGACUGGAAUUCCUGGUGUAGCGGUGAAAUGCGCAGAUAUCAGGAGGAACACCGAUGGCGAAGGCAGGGUCUCUGGGCCACUACUGACGCUGAGAAGCGAAAGCAUGGGGAGCGAACAGG
rnacentral:rRNA from 1 species